rnacentral:rRNA from 1 species
GACGGAGGGGGCAAGCGUUGCUCGGAAUUACUGGGCGUAAAGGGCGCGUAGGCGGAAUGGCAAGUCGGUCGUGAAAUCCUUCGGCUCAACCGAAGAACGUCGAUCGAAACUGCCGGUCUUGAGGAUUGCAGAGGAGACUGGAAUUCCCGGUGUAGCGGUGAAAUGUGUAGAGAUCGGGAGGAACACCGGUGGCGAAGGCGGGUCUCUGGGCAAUUCCUGACGCUGAGGCGCGAAAGCGUGGGGAGCAAACGGG